GCUCUGUGUUGGAGAGAGGAGACAGCACAGGUGGGUGGUCAGCAGAAAGGUCUGGACAUCCCAGCCUAUCUGCUCCAUCCCCGUCCCCCACACUGGUCCCCGCCCCCCCUCUAUUAACGCUGGCUCUGCCCAAGCACGGCAACAGGACACAUUUCAUUUCGUCCAAGACGUGUAACAUCUCAUAAGCUUUACUCCUGGGCUUGAGAUCAGGAGGGGACCAGCUGGCUUGAGAACAGUUCAUUCGGAAAGACCUUAAAGGCCUCCAGACACAACAAUGGUGACGACAGGUACGAUGACGUGGCGGUGACUGUCCAGGAACUGCGCUCAGUGCCACACCACAUGGCUUCGCCCCAUCUCAUAAAAAGCCUGAAAGUUAGUGUCAGGGAGGUUAGGGGACCUGCCCAAGGCCACCUGGCCUGGCAAGCGACAGAGCUGGGGCCCCCAGAGACAUCUGCCACCGACGCCCAUCCUCGAGAUGAAAAUGAGACGUUAGUGGGAGGAAGGAUGCCUCAAAUGACCCAAACCAACCACAGUUGGUGGCAUUACAGCCUAAAAAAUGCUUUCUGAUACUUCAUCUCAUAUCAGAGUUGGGGAAACUGAGGUUUGGAGAAGCAAAGUGCCCGACCCAGUUGGCAGAGCUGGGAAGGCGAGGAGUCGGGACUCUCACUCCAUCUGAUGCUGGGUACACUGGCCACAACGCAAAGGUCCUAAGGCUGUGAGGAUGCAGAGGACCCAGAAUCUGGCAGGGUCAUCCCCCCCCCCAAGCUGGACAACGCAUAGGUCCCCAGGAGCUCUGUGGUCAGCUUUGGGUGCCAUGGCUCCAGAGGCACCCAGCCCCCUCCCGAGAAUCCCAUUGAGGCAGCAGGAUGGGGAGGGGCCAGCAGGAACCAGGAACCAGGUUCCAGAGGAACCAGGACUGCAGAGCGUAGACAGGACACAGCUGUCACAUGGGGAGGGCUGGGAGGCAGCCCAGAGAUGGGUUUAAGGGUACAGACACUGAGCCAGGCCACCCCUGGGGUCAAGUCCCACUCACCAGCUGGGUGACCCUGGCCAAGCGUGCCUCCAUAUGCUCAUGCAUAAAAGGCGGAUGCUAAUAGCACCUGCCUUGUGGGGGGAUGGUGUAAGGAUUAAAGAAGUGAACAGGUGCACAACGCUUACAACACGACCGGGCAUCUAGCAAGAGCCCCAUCAAAGUUGGACAUGACCAUCGCUGCUGUUACUUCUAUCACAACGUAGCACGGAGGGCGAAAGCACAGCCCUGGCGUCCCAGAGACGUGAGUUCAAAUCUCAGCCCUCCUCUCUGGCUGCUCUAUGGCACCCGACGCGUGGCUCCACCUCUCGGUGCCUCCACUCCCCCGUCUGUAAAUAGGGAUAAUAGCAUCCAACUCACAAGUAACUGAGGGAGGUAAAUCAGCCUGUUCGUCUACCCUACAAAUGUAUAUCAAGAGCCUCCUGGCAAAGCGCCCCACAGCCUUCCAGGCAGGUGUCAUUAUCACAUGAUCCAUAUUCCCCACGCGGACAGUGGUGAGACAGCGGUGCAAGUUACAAGGAAUCGGAUUUUUCUAGUAACUGUCCAAGGAGAUGAGCAGGGAAGAGUGGUAGUGAGCUCCCCGGCCCUGAACCGUAGCAGAGAUUCCUGCACUGAUGGGCCCCUGGGCUCUAAGGAACCAAAUCACACAGAGAUAGGCAGAGAGGGGACCCUCCAGCCCAGGUGUGCGACCAAGAGGCCCAGCUCCACAGCUUCAUCCCUCCCCCGCCCAGAGCUCACCCCUCUCCUACCCUGCAGGAAGACAGGAGCCUCCAGCCACCCUGAGGGAGCAGGCGUCACAGCGCCCCCUUGAGGGGAGAUGCCUCCGGUGCGGCAGCCGAGGGGCUUCCCACCCUUCCUCUUCUCUGCCCAGAGCCCAGGAUUCCUGCAGCCACUGGAGAGGGCAGGGGUCACCUCCUCCUGCCUCCCACCUCCUCUGCGCUCCUCCUGCCGCUCGCUCCGCUAGGAGUUAUGAUCUCUCACAUUCUGGAAGCUCCCAACAUCACUCCUCCCCCAGGAGACCAGAGAGCUGGAGGCACCGCCGCAUUUCACAGGUGAGGAAACCCAGGCCCAGAGAGGAUGAGUUACUUGGCCCAAAUCACCCAAACGGUCAAUGUCAGAGCGAAGACUGAAGACGCCUAGUUCCGUGCUCUUCAGCCAUGAGAGCAGAAGAGGAGGGGGAGGCCUCACUGACUGUGAGGGGGCCUCUGUGCUAGGAGGAGGGCUCCCCUCUGGAGUUUCCUAAGGUUGCCAUCAAGCCGUGGCUUGGAUGCCUUUAGUGACAGGGUGCUCACUACCUCAUGAGGAAACCCGCCGCUUUCUUGCACAGCCCUGAUUGGUAGAAGGGCUUUCCUAACCAGCCUGGUCUCAGCCUUCAAGAUGUUUCUUUCCCUUUGCUUCCAUCUCCUAGGGAUGCAGACAAUUUAAAGGUUGGGGAGUAUCCAAGGGCACCUCGGCAAGGCUCAUGAAUGCAGCUAACACAAGCCCGUGCCUUGGCAAGGGAGGGCCUUUCUCCAGUUCAUACAAAGGGGUCAUGUGAGAGAGCUGGGGCCCUGUCCCUCACGCCUCCGUUACACAGGCCACGGUUCUGUGCUUUUGUGACCCACCUCUCCGUGUCCCCCACUGGGCAGCAGGUACCUCGGGGGCACACACUCGAUCCUAUUCAGCUCGCUAUCAGGACACUUGGCACAGACAUCAGAUUGGUCGAUUCACAGUGCGGUUCCUGUACCUUCUCCACUGCCUCUGCCCCACCCCCUGGAGCUCUGAGAACACAACCUAUUUCUCCCCCCAGGCCAGGCCUUUAAGGAUUGAAGAUGGGGGCCAUUGGAGCAGGAGAAGCAACCCCACAGCUGUGCUCAGGGAUGGUACAUGGGCUACUUCCCUCUCUGUGCCCUUCUGGAUGCUCUCCCAGGUGCCCUCCCAGGUGCCCUUCCAGAUGCCCUCCCAGGUCCUCCCAGGUGCCCUCCCAGAUGCUCUCUCAGGUGCCCUCCCAGGUGCCCUCCCUGAUGCCCUCCCAGGUGCCCUUCCAGAGGCCCUCCCAGGUGCCCUCCCUGAUGCCUUCCCAGGUGCCCUCCCUGAUACCCUCCCAGGUGCCCUCCCUGAUGCCCUCCCAGGUGCCCUCCCAGAUGCCCUCCCAGGUGCCCUCCCUGAUACCCUCCUAGGUGCCCUCCCAGGUGUCUUUCCAGAUGCCCUCCCAGGUGCCCUCCCUGAUGCCCUCCCAGGUGCCCUUCCAGAUGCCCUCCCAGGUGCCCUCCCUGAUGCCCUCCCAGGUGCCCUUCCAGAUGCCCUCCCAGGUGCCCUCCCUGAUACCCUCCCAGGUGCCCUUCCAGAUGCCCUCCCAGGUGUCUUUCCAGAUGCCCUCCCAGGUGCCCUCCCAGAUGCCCUCCCAGGUGCCCUCCUAGGUGCCCUCCCAGGUGUCUUUCCAGAUGCCCUCCCAGGUGCCCGCCCUGAUACCCUCCCAGGUGCCCUUCCAGAUGCCCUCCCAGGUGCCCUCCCUGAUGCCCUCCCAGGUGCUCAGGCGGCACGGCCCCAUGGUUACCUUCAU